rnacentral:rRNA from 1 species
GACGAACGCUGGCGGCGUGCUUAACACAUGCAAGUCGAACGGAAAGGCCCUGCUUGCAGGGUACUCGAGUGGCGAACGGGUGAGUAACACGUGGGUGAUCUGCCCUGCACUUCGGGAUAAGCCUGGGAAACUGGGUCUAAUACCGGAUAGGAGCCAUCCUUAGGGUGAGGGUUGGAAAGUUUUUUCGGUGUAGGAUGAGAUCGCGGCCUAUCAGCUUGUUGGUGGGGUAAUGGCCUACCAAGGCGGCGACGGGUAGCCGGCCUGAGAGGGUGGACGGCCACAUUGGGACUGAGAUACGGCCCAGACUCCUACGGGGGGCAGCAGUGGGGAAUAUUGCACAAUGGGGGCAAGCCUGAUGCAGCGACGCCGCGUGGGGGAUGACGGCCUUCGGGUUGUAAACUCCUUUCGCUAGGGACGAAGCUUUUUGUGACGGUACCGAGAUAAGAAGCACCGGCUAACUACGUG